rnacentral:rRNA from 1 species
GGCCACCGCUAUUGGAAUACGAUUAAGACAUGCGAGUCGCGAGGCUCACCGCAAGGUGAGGGCCCUCGGCACACGGCUCAGUAACACGCGGAUAACCUACCCUUAGGUGGGGGAUAAUCUCGGGAAACUGAGAAUAAUACCCCAUAGGUCUUCUAUGCUGGAAUGCUUGAAGGCUCAAAGCUGCGGCGCCUAAGGAUGGGUCUGCGGCCUAUCAGGUUGUAGAUGGUGUAACGAACCAUCUAGCCUAUAACGGGUACGGGCGUUGAGAGACGUUGCCCGGAGAUGGACUCUGAGACACGAGUCCAGGUGCUACGGCACGCAGCAGUCGCGAAAACUCCGCAAUGCUGGAAACAGCGACGGGGGAAUUCCAAGUGCUAGCACUUUUGUGUUAGCUGUUCCCUUGCCUAAAAAGCAAGGGGAGUAAGGGCUGGGUAAGACGGGUGCCAGCCGCCGCGGUAAUACCCGCAGCCCGAGUGGUGGUCAUGAUUAUUGAGCCUAAAGCGUCCGUAGCCGGCCUUGUAAAUUCUCGGGUAAAUCGGCUUGCUUAACGAUCCGAAUUCCGAGAAGACUGUAAGGCUUGAGACAGGGAGAGGUCGGAGGUACUCCUGGGGUAAGGGUAAAAUCCUGUAAUCCUGGGAGGACCACCAGUGGCGAAGGCGUCCGACUAGAACUNCUCUGACGGUAAGGGANGAAGCCCUGGGGNGCAAACNGGAUUAGAUACCCCGGUAGUNCANGGUGUAAACGCUGCAGGCUUGNUGUCGGUGGCNUNUACGAGNAGCGAUCGGUGCCNGGAGNGAAGAUGUUAAGCCUGCCGCUUGGGGGUACCGUCGCAAGACUGAAACUUAAAAGAAAUGGGCGGGGGGACCCCCGCAACGGGAGGAGCGUACGGGUCCAAUUGGAUUCAACGCCGGAAAACUCACCGGGGGCGACUGGCAAAUGAAGGCCAAGCUGAUGACUUUGCUAGGAUGCCAGAGGAGGUGGUGCAUGGGCCGUCGUCCGUUCGUACCCGUAAAGGCGUUCUGUCAAGUCAGAUAACGAACGAGGCCCUCACCCCUCGGAUCCGUAACGGUCCGGGUAAUAUUUUGUUGCCACCCUCGCAAGAGGAGCCCUCGAAGGGGACCGCUGGCGCUAAGCCAGAGGAAGGAGAGGUCAACGGUAGGUCAGUAUGCCCCGAAUCCCCCGGGCAACACGCGCGCUACAAAGGGCAGGACAAUGGGCUCCAAUGCCGAGAGGCAAAGGCAAUCCCGAAACCUGUCCGUAGUUCGGAUUGAGGGCUGUAACUCGCCCUCAUGAACCGAUGGAUUCCGUAGUAAUCGCGGGUCAACAUCCCGCGGUGAAUAUGCCCCUGCUCCUUGCACACACCGCCCGUCAAGUCAUCCGAGUUGGGUUUAAGUGAGGCUUAUGUUCUUGCAUAACUCGAACUUAGAUUCAGCAAGGGGG